CUUCAAGCAACUUAAAGAAGUCCAGACGCUUUUCUUUGCAAGCUCCUUUGAUUCUACAAAGAUAUUUUAGAAGGAAAAAUAAGAAACCGUGGUUUUAUCGCCCGCUCACAGCGCCAGCUGUAGCUUUGUUGGAAUCCUCAGCUUGUCUCCUCCUCCCACCUUUGGCUGUGUGCACACUUAUUUUGAAGGCAUCGACAGGAAGUAAACCCCUAAUUCCAAAGUGGACCUCUGCAGGAAAGUUUCUCAAGGGAUUCCUUUGUUCGUGGGUUUGGACCGGGAGAAAGUGGGUAUAUGGCAUGAAAUAAACCAGAAGUUAAUAACAUCAGCUGAGUGAGGAGGAGGAAGCGUCUGUGGACACAACGAGGAGUUCUCGGUGAAAAGGCAGAGGGACGAAGCUCCUAAUGGAAAGAGAGGGAAGAUGACUAGGAGGAGCCGAGGACGGAGCUGAGCUAUGUGGCAAAUCUCUGAAGAACUUCUCCGUCCGUGAAAGCAGCAGAGCCGCCUUUAUUUCGAAAAAGUGAUGGAGGGAGAGAAGGAACGACUGAGACAACAUCGGGAUGAGAAGGAGAGCAACGAAGCAGAUGAUUACGGCAAGUGUGACGACGACAAAGACAAGGUCGAGGAAGAUGGGGAAGACUUGGUGGGGGCAGCACUGGUCUGGCAGGAACGCUACGGCGAGGACAAUCUGGGCCUUCCCAUCAUGCACUGGGAGGCCCUGAGCUUGCGCAUUGCCGAGCUUGAGAAGCAGGAAGAAGAGAAGAAGGAGAAGAGGUUAAAGACUGGCCUUUCUCUGGAGCAAGGAGGAGCCCCAGUCAGCUGGAAAGAGGAGCGAGGGAGGAGAACGGAGAGCUGGGAGGACGGCGACGACGCCUGCAAUAGUCACGUGCUGGCACUGACCUCUCGCCUGCAGACACGGAUGAAUCUCCAGCUCUGCUUCAUCAACAACAGUGAAAGUGAAGAGGAGGAGGAGGAGGAAGAGGAGAAGAAAGGAGAUGUUAGAAAGAAAGAAAGCAGCUCAUGGAGAGGAAGUGUUCAGAUUCACAAGGAUCCUCAGCCUUCAAGCAAACCAGAGAAACAAAAGUCGAGAGGCUUCAGGAACACUCUGAAGAACCUGCGAGACCGACUAAGGACGGACCACAAGUCUUUGAGCACAGCGCGGAGUGAUCCUGUAAACCAGAGGAGACAUUUGGAGCACAGCGAUCUGCAGGGCUUCACUAUCAAGGAGCUGAAUGCUCUCUGUGCGUCUCUCAGCCAGGCUAUACAAGAUCUGAGCUCAGAGCUGGUGGGUCGCCUCCAGGUCCGAGACCAGCUGAGGACAGAGCAGGACGCCAUGCUGCUGGAGGUACAGGAUCUAACGUCACUGUGACAUCACGUCCACAUGUGAGCAGCUGGGAGGAGUGGUUAUGAGACUUAAACAUUAUUAGGGUGUGUAAGGGAAACUUUGACCUGCUAAAGACGUCCAUCAGCUGAUGAUUUACAUAUGAAGCGAAAACCAGCAGAGAACUGCAUGUCAGUAAAAACCUGUGCCUUACACCCGCUACAUUACAGGACGGGUGUAAGGUCAAAACCUCAAAGGUAGAAGCAUGAGAGGGAAAUAUGACAUCCAGGUUUGGCUUUGUCUGUUUGUGGAAAUGAUUGUGAUCCACGUGGAAAGGUGAAAGGUUUCACGAGUGUUACUGGAAUUCCCGUCUCUCUGGAAAGCGCUCUUAGAUCAUCCGCCUUCAAGCUGCAAGCACUGAACCCAGGUCAGUGUCUGUACAGGCUAAAUGAUGAGCAGGGUCAUGCACAUUUCAAAAGAGGGGCUGUUUUUAUUAAAAACAAUAGUUUUAGCACCAGAUUGUUUCCAUUAUGUUCAUUUAUUAACUUGAGAAUCCUACUUGUACUUCACAUCAUUUCUCCCACAGAUACAGUAGAGACAGUCAUUUCUGCAUAAUAGUGAGACGGUCCUUAACACAGUAGUAAGAAGCCUUCCAGCAGUCCUGUGUAAAAUAUCCACCUGGCGAGUGAAACUUCAAAACUCUUAACUCUGCAGUGCAAAAGGGACCAAUAUGGAAAAGCUCAUUAACAUCUGUUCUUUGCUCUGUUUCGAUAUAGUCUUUUGAUCCUGGCAUAAAGUCUUAUUCAUGCUUUUCUGUCUACACUUUUUAAUUGAUGUUGGUUAAUAAAUGAAAUGUGCUCUUUUGUACAACAAAACGAUAUCUUUAGUAUUAAUCUAAAUUUUGACACUUUUAACUCAUUCACUGCCAUUGACGUCUAUAGCCGUCAAUGGCAGUGAAUGAGUCAAUGGGUUUAACUCAUUCACUGCCAAUGGCUGGCAGUGAAUGAGUUAACUUGUUGACUUGACUAACCUGUAAAUUGUAAUUUACUAUUUUUUUGUUCGUGUUUUUGGUCACAGUGAAAGUAUUUCAUCUCAUUCCUGAUGAGCUGUUGAUAUCAAGUUUAAAAACAGCAAACUUUUUAAAAGUUGAAUGUAAAUAUGAACAGUACACAUUUAUUUGUAAACCAUCAGUGUCUUACAAUAUACCAGGUGUUGAAUGGAGACCACUGUUAUUGAAAUGUUCUCUUGGAGUGCAAUGCCAUCUUUAAAUAAAUAAAUGAUUUUUUAAAGUUUAAACAAAGCACAUCAAAACCUGGAAAAAUUAAAACUAACUAGAAUAAUUGUUACCACGGUCAGCAACACGAGCGUUUGUUUCAUUCUGAGUUUUUGAGAUUGCUUUAAGUGGAAAAGGAGGUCCAAAGCCCCUCCAGUCCACUGUGAUGCUUUUCACAGUCAGUAUCCAUUCUGCUGAUUUGUACUGAGUUUUGCAAAUUAUGAGCUGUGGAUUAAAGCCUGUCGUUUCCUCAGCAGGACAGAUAGUGUAGUGUUGAAGACGUUAACACUUGGGAAGCUUUUUUUUUGAAGUCACAGAAUCUGGUUUCAAUCUUCUGGUUGAUGUUAUCGACCAAUAUUAGCUAUUUUUAUAUAGCUAUGUACUA